AAAAAGAUGAGUUUGGUGAUGGCUCUGAUUGAACACUGUCCAAAGGCUUGACACAUGCUAAUCGUACGUUUAAUUUAAUUAAUUUAAAAUUUUAUUAAAAGUGGUGAACAGGUGAGUAUAUGAUUAUCAACCUACCUUAAGGUAAGGCACAAUAAAUACCUUAUAUAAUAAAGGAAAAGUAAUUUCCGCCUUAGGAUGAAUCGAUAAUUUACAGGGAUAGGUAGUAGUAAAGGUAACGGCUUCACUAGCCUAAUAUUCUCUUAGUCGAAACUGAGAUGGUUGAUCGACCACAUUGGGAAUGAGAAAAGCCCAAGGCAAGGAAGUACAGCAGUGGGGAAUUUUGGUCAAUGGCCUAACGGCUGAACUGGCAAUUUGGAGGAAUGACCUAUCUUAUUUUAGUAAUAAUAAGAAUUAGAUUGAAAUGGUACAAUUAAUAAUUAAAUGAAAUUCUAAAUAUAUAUAUUAUAAUGACUAAUUAUAUUUAUGUCUUGACUAAUUACGUGCCAGCAGUCGCGGUAAUACGUAAGAGACUAGUGUUAUUCAUCUUUAGUAGGUUUAAAGGGUACUUAAACGGAAGAAAUUACCUAAACAAGGUAUAAUUUCUAUCUAGAGUUUAAUAUGAAAAGGUAGAACUUGAGGAGUAGAGAUUUAAUGCGCUAAUACCUAAUAGAGGACAAGUAAAGGCUAAUGCGACCUUUUAUGUAAAAACUGACGUUGAAGGACGAAGGCUUAGAGAGCGAAUAGGAUUAGAGACCCUAGUAGUCUAAGCAGAAAAUGAUGGAUGCCAUAGGUUAGGGAUACUUAGUCUAUAAAUGAAAGUGUAAGCAUUUCACCUCAAGAGUAACAUGGCAACAUGGGAACUGUAAUCACCAGGCCGUUUCUGACAACAGUAGUGAAGUAUGUUACUUAAUUCGAUGACCCACGAAAAUCUUACCACGAUCAGUAUAGUAUAUUAAUAAUAUAAUAUGUUAUAAUAUAUUACGAGUGUUGCACGGCUGUUUUCGGUUAAUGUUGUGAAACUGUGGUUGAGGCCAUGCAAUUAACGUAAACCUUUGCUUUAUUUAUAAUUUUUUUUUUAUAAAGCUGUUUUUAUCUGGAAAACGAUAAAAUAAUAGGGCCAAAGACAAGUCAUCAUGACCUUUAAAUCGUGGGCUGUAGACGUGCCACAUUUUCCUAAACAAAGAGAAGCAAAAAUGUAAAUUUAAGCUAAUCUCAAAAAAUAGGAUAAAAGAAGAUAUGGAUUGUAGUCUGAAACUCGACUACAUAAAUAAGUAAUUACUAGUAAUCGUGAACCACCAGGUCACGGUGAAUUACAUCUCGGAUUGGUACUAAUCACUCGUCGCACGCUGAAAGGAGUAUGUGCAAAAAGUUUGCUUUCCUAUUUUAAUUAAGUAAAUAAUAGGGUUUAGAUAUUAUAAUAGGAUUCUUCGUAUGUAUGACUCUAAUUAGUGUUAAGUCGAAAUACGGUUCGUGUAGUGGAAGUUGCACGGGGAUUUUUUUUUUA
rnacentral:rRNA from 1 species